rnacentral:rRNA from 1 species
GAUGAACGCUGGCGGCGUGCUUAACACAUGCAAGUCGAACGGUGAAGCAGGAGCUUGCUCUUGUGGAUCAGUGGCGAACGGGUGAGUAACACGUGAGCAACCUGCCCCUGACUCUGGGAUAAGCGCUGGAAACGGCGUCUAAUACUGGAUAUGUGAUGUGACCGCAUGGUCUGCAUCUGGAAAGAAUUUCGGUUGGGGAUGGGCUCGCGGCCUGUCAGCGUGUUGGUGAGGUAAUGGCUCACGAAGGCGUCGACGGGUAGCCGGCCUGAGAAGGUGACCGGCCACACUGGGACUGCGACACGGCCCAGACGCGUACGGGAGGCAGCAGUGGGGAAUAUUGCACUAGGUACGGAAGUCUGAUGCCGCAACGCCGCGUGAGGGAUGACGGCCUUCGGGUUGUAAACCUCUUUUAGCAGGGAAGAAGCGAAAGUGACGGUACCUGCAGAAAAAGCACCGGCUAACUACGUGCCUGCCGCCGCGGUAA